UACGUAGGUGGCGAGCGUUAUCCGGAAUUACUGGGUGUAAAGGGUGUGUAGGCGGGGAUGCAAGUCAGAUGUGAAAUCCAUGGGCUCAACCUAUGGUGUGCAUUUGAAACUGCGUUUCUUGAGUGUGGGAGAGGUAAGCGGAAUUCCUAGUGUAGCGGUGAAAUGCGUAGAUAUUAGGAGGAACACCAGUGGCGAAGGCGGCUUACUGGACCACAACUGACGCUGAGACACGAAAGCGUGGGGAGCAAACAGG
rnacentral:rRNA from 2 species